GAUGAACGCUGACAGCAUGCUUAACACAUGCAAGUCUUUGGCGAAGCUGUGCUUGCACCGCCUAGCCAAGGCGGACGGGUGAGUAACGCGUAAGGAACUUGCCCUGCAGUCAGGGAUAACAGACGGAAACGACUGAUAAGACCUGGUAAAGUCAGGCGGACUCAUGUCCAGCCUGAUGAAAAGAGAUGCUGCAGGAGAGCCUUGCGUCCUAUUAGCUUGUUGGUGGGGUAACGGCCCACCAAGGCGAUGAUAGGUAGCCGGCCUGAGAGGGUGGACGGCCACAAGGGGACUGAGAUACGGCCAUUACUCCUACGGGAGGCAGCAGUGGGGAAUAUUGGACAAUGGGGGCAACCCUGACCCAGCAAUUCUGUGUGCACGAUGAAGGUUUUCGGAGUGUAAAGUGCUUUCAGCAGGGAAGAAAAAAAUGACGGUACCUGCAGAAGAAGCGACGGCUAAAUACGUG
rnacentral:rRNA from 1 species